rnacentral:lncRNA from 1 species
AGCCAGCUGAAACUGGCCUUUAUCUAACAUGGGGCAGCUUCUGGAUUCUUCUCACAGAAGCCACCCCUGCAGCCCUCCCUCUACCAAAACCUUGCCAUGUAAACCCACUACAAGGGCAACCAUGUCCUUGGGGAGUCCAGAUGCCUUUAGCCAUCCUCUUCACUGCCCUCAGUGCUGCCUGUGUGUUUUUUUUUCUCUCCAUUUCUCAGACAGCUUCUCAGUUAGCCAACUCUCCUGCUAUGCACAGAACUGCCCAAGCAAUUUGCUUAGGCAAACAGUGAUGCUCCAAGUAAACUGGCAGAUCUGCUGGGAGACACUCUCCUGCAUCCUGCAAGAUGGAUUAAAUAGCUGAGAAGAAACCUCUCAGGGUUCUGCUGCUAAGAGCUGGGACAGCCAGUUAUCCCUUUGACCCUGCUGGCUUGGGACUCCAGGGGGAGUUGGCCACGCUCAGGACAAUUCUCCCUGGCAAGCCUCAGAGAGCUUCUGGUGCCCGUAGGAGGAGACAGAGACCAAGAGGUGAAAUGGGGGCACGCAGAGGAAAACAGAUGCCAUGAGACUCGGAAGCAGAGACAGGGGCUGAAUACCAGAGUCUGGGUCCCAUAACAUUUCGUGUCUGGCGUCCUCCACCCCUCAUCAGCUGGUCUUCUUUUUUUUUUUUUUUCCAGCGCUUCUCUCUUUCCCUUUUGAAUGCAGACAUCUGGAUGGUGACUAAUCUUUCAGUUCUCUGCCUCCCGUUAGCCUUGGGAGCUGAUCUGAAGAAUAACAGCCGGUCCAGCCAGGGAUGCACUCCUUCCAGGGAAGGAAGGAAGAAGAAAAGAAGAUAGGAAGAAAAGAAAGAAAAGGGCUGAGCCGUCCUGGUCUGUGGGCUUCUUGAAGAGAGAGCUGGGAUCUCCUGUGUGCUUGGGGCUCUGCAAUGCAGCGCUGCUGAACCAAACCCAAGGUCCUGCUCCUGAAGGUUGUGUUGGCUGCAGGCUUAACCCCGCUAUGACAGCAGUUCUGGGACACCUGAUCUCCACAUCUCGUUACAAGACGAGGCUCUGGCAGACUGACACCUUUCACAACACAGAGCUCCGAGGGAGGCAGUCGGGCUGGGAAGCACGUCAUGCGGCGCGGUGGCACUGUCCCCAGUGUCACCCUGCUGGGGCUGUGCCCGUCCAGCUCCUCCAGACAGGUUGGGCUGCACACCGCAUCCCAAAAUGCCAGGGUGGUGGCGUGAAGUGCCCGUGCUGUCAGCAGCCCGGAGGCUCAGGAUGUCGAUGCGAGCGGCUGCCGAGCAGCCAGAGACGUGCAGGAGGCAGCCGGCUUGAAGUGCAAUUUGCAUUUUAAUAAAGAAAGUUGUAUUUUUUCAGUAAUUUGCAUUUAAAUCAAGCGUGUUUCAUAACUGAGC